rnacentral:rRNA from 1 species
GAACGAGUUCUCGUUGAUGAUCGGUGCUUGCACCGAGAUUCAACAUCGAACGAGUGGCGGACGGGUGAGUAACACGUGGGUAACCUGCCCUUAAGUGGGGGAUAACAUUUGGAAACAGAUGCUAAUACCGCAUAGAUCCAAGAACCGCAUGGUUCUUGGCUGAAAGAUGGCGUAAGCUAUCGCUUUUGGAUGGACCCGCGGCGUAUUAGCUAGUUGGUGAGGUAAUGGCUCACCAAGGCGAUGAUACGUAGCCGAACUGAGAGGUUGAUCGGCCACAUUGGGACUGAGACACGGCCCAAACUCCUACGGGAGGCAGCAGUAGGGAAUCUUCCACAAUGGACGCAAGUCUGAUGGAGCAACGCCGCGUGAGUGAAGAAGGCUUUCGGGUCGUAAAACUCUGUUGUUGGAGAAGAAUGGUCGGCAGAGUAACUGUUGUCGGCGUGACGGUAUCCAACCAGAAAGCCACGGCUAACUACGUGCCAGCAGCCGCGGUAAUACGUAGGUGGCAAGCGUUAUCCGGAUUUAUUGGGCGUAAAGCGAGCGCAGGCGGUUUUUUAAGUCUGAUGUGAAAGCCCUCGGCUUAACCGAGGAAGCGCAUCGGAAACUGGGAAACUUGAGUGCAGAAGAGGACAGUGGAACUCCAUGUGUAGCGGUGAAAUGCGUAGAUAUAUGGAAGAACACCAGUGGCGAAGGCGGCUGUCUGGUCUGUAACUGACGCUGAGGCUCGAAAGCAUGGGUAGCGAACAGGAUUAGAUACCCUGGUAGUCCAUGCCGUAAACGAUGAAUGCUAGGUGUUGG